UUAUCCGGGAUUUAUUGGGUUUAAAGGGUCCGCAGGCGGGCCGAUAAGUCAGUGGUGAAAUCUCAUAGCUUAACUAUGAAACUGCCAUUGAUACUGUCGGUCUUGAGUAAAUUAGAGGUAGCUGGAAUAAGUAGUGUAGCGGUGAAAUGCAUAGAUAUUACUUAGAACACCAAUUGCGAAGGCAGGUUACCAUGAUUUAACUGACGCUGAGGGACGAAAGCGAGGGUAGCGAACAGGAUUAGAUACCCUGGUAGUCCACGCCGUAAGCGAUGCUGACUCGUUUUUGGGGCGCAAGCUUCAGAGACCAAGCGAAAGUGAUAAGUUAGCCACCUGGGGAGUACGUUCGCAAGAAUGAAACUCAAAGGAAUUGACGGGGGCCCGCACAAGCGGUGGAUUAUGUGGUUUAAUUCGAUGAUACGCGAGGAACCUUACCAAGACUUAAAUGGGAAAUGACCGGUUUAGAAAUAGACCUUUCGCAAGACAUUUUUCAAGGUGCUGCAUGGUUGUCGUCAGCUCGUGCCGUGAGGUGUUAGGUUAAGUCCUGCAACGAGCGCAACCCCUGUCACUAGUUGCUAACAUUAAGUUGAGGACUCUAGUGAGACUGCCUACGCAAGUAGAGAGGAAGGUGGGGAUGACGUCAAAUCAUCACGGCCCUUACGUCUUGGGCCACACACGUAAUACAAUGGCCGGUACAGAGGGCAGCUACCACGCGAGUGGAUGCGAAUCUCGAAAGCCGGUCUCAGUUCGGAUUGGAGUCUGCAACUCGACUCUAUGAAGCUGGAAUCGCUAGUAAUCGCGCAUCAGCCAUGGCGCGGUGAAUACGUUCCCGGGCCUUGUACACACCGCCCGU
rnacentral:rRNA from 1 species